rnacentral:lncRNA from 1 species
UUGAAAAAGAAAAUGAAGGAAUGAGAGUAAGAGAGAGCAGGUGACUAUGCCUCUAUGUUCUGCAUGAGCUGCAAUUGUGGAGGAAAAAGAAAAGACAUAUGUAGAAAACGAAACAGAGAGAGGACACGGAGGAAAAGUAGAAGGAUUUGGGCUGGCACCUUCUUUGGAUCUUCAGAUCGAAAUCUUUGAAAGGCAAGUUUCCC